ensembl:lncRNA
UUUUUUUUUUUUUUCAGCUUUGAUCAUCAGACUCUGUUCUUGAUAUUUGUUUAUCCAUUUUCUUACUCUACAAGUUUGCGGGCUAAUAAUACUGAUUAAAGUUUGCUUGAUGAGAAACAAUGAAAGUUAAAUCUCGUAUAAAGCAACUGAAGUCACAAAUUUUGUGAGCUGAGAGUGGUAGAACUCUGUUAGGAAGAGUGUAAUAUCGCUGAUGUCUUUAUGCCAGAAUGUUGAUCAGCCUAAUUAUCCAGGAAUCUUCUGGUUCUCUGGCAGUGCUACAGCUGUGACUUUCCCUUUGUCUUUGAAAUAAUGAUCCUUCCACGCUGCAUAUGCACGAGACAAUGUUGUUUGACAAAAUAAUGUUUUUUCAUAGUGGUAAAUCAUUUAUGAGUUUCAUUCCUUAAGUGAUACUGAUGGCUGAAUAUAUAUUAACACAUUCCUGGUUGUUUAUCUGCUCCAGUAAAGCCACACCAGUUAUCCAAUUGUGAAAUAUUUUAAAUCAGCCAUAUGACUGUAGAGCACAGGGAACUAUAUCCAGUCACUUGUGAUGGAAUAUGAUAGAGGAUAAUGUGAGAAAAAGAAUGUAUGUAUAUACAUUCAUACAUUGACUGGGUCACUUUGCUAUACAGUAGAAAUUGACAGAACACUCUAAAUCAACUAUACUGGAAAAAUAAAAAUCAUAAAAAAAGAAAAAAAAUCAGCCAUAUGAAAAGGAAAUGUAAUGUAACUUAAGCUAUUUCCAAUAAUUCUGCAAAAAAAUUAUAUUUCCCUACCACCUCUUUCUAAUUAGGCAAUGUAUUAUUUAUCCUUUUUUACACUCUCCUUAUCCUCCUUGGUUAAGUAUUGAUAUUUCUUAUAGAGCUUUAAUUUGUUUACUCUUAUACUACUGGUUACUAAGAAUUAUUGGACCCAUACUGAAUGUCAUUUAAUUCAAAUUACAUCUGACGAGAGAAAGGGUACUAUUCCAGAUUUAUGACUGUUUUUUAUUUUCAAAAGAAAGCAAAAUUUCUUGAAUGUUUCUGUUCCCUCUACCUGUUGUGGCAUUUUCCUUUCAUUUUGAUUCAAAAAGAAGAUGUCUUUGCCACAAACUCUACUUUCCAUGCUGAACUGGUCUGUUUGGCAGCGAAAAAAUCGUAACUGACACGGCAACCUGAUUUGCCCCAAAUGGCUUCAUCUCUGAGCUUCUCAUCAAGGAAAAUAGUUAUGUCUAGAACAUCUUUGUGACAUAAUGGAGUGAUCGACACUGACCGAGUGGAGACCUCCUGGCAGAGUCAUGCAUGGUGAUUGCACUGGUCAGGGUGGGUUUUGCUGAGGCCUCUCUUCCUGGCUUGGAGACAGCCACCUUCUUGCUGUGUCCUCAAGUGGCCUUUCUUCUGUACACACGUGGAGAGGGAGAAACCGCUCUCUGGUGUCCUUCCCGCUUAUAAGGCCACUAGUCCUUUUGGCUUUGACCCACCCUUAUCAUCUCAAUUAACCUAAUUACCUUCCUAAAGGCCCUACAUCCAAAUAUAGUCACAUGGGGGAGUAGGGGUUUUAGCACAUGAAUUUUAGGAGUGUAUAGUUCAGUGCACAACACAGUGCUACUACUUAUGGAAUGUUUACUAUGCGUCAGACAUUCAUUUGCAGAUAACCCAUUUUAUUCAUGAGGAAACUGAGUUUCUGAGAGGUAAAUCAUCUCACUCAAGAUCACAGAUAAUAAAGGGCAGAGGUGGGAUUCAAACCGAAGCAUCUGGCUUUAGAACCCAAGUCCUUGCCUGUUACUUUGUCUUUAAAAUGAGAGUGACAUCUUUGUAGCUUUUCCUUGCUCAAAUUCCUUUAGGUCUAAUGUUGGAUGAGAUUUCUUUUCACUUUUUUGGACAGAAUACAAAAUUGGUUUUCAGCUUUCUUUUCUUUUUUCUGGUAAUUCACUUUUAAACCUGUUUUAACAAUUAAGAGGUCGGACUCCAGGACCACAGCAUAUGGAUUUGAAGGUGUCUUUUCCUGGAAAUUAGGAAAUACAGAUCAACAACAGAGCUGGGAAGUUGUGAUGAUUAAAUGAGAGAACACUGAUUCAGGACCUAAAGUCAGCCUGGUGCAUAGUGCAUAGGAAGUAUGAGUGUGCAUUAAAGAUAGAGCAGUAAAUCAAAAAUGAGCUCAGGCAAGAGCUCAUUUGCCCUCCCUGUCUUAGGGAAGACUUACCUUAUGGAGAGUGCUUUCUUAGGAAUCUUACACACCUGCUAACUGGUGACCUCACAGGGGUCUUCACAGAACUGAUAUUUCCUGGCAAAAUUGCCAGUUAGACAAGUCUUUACAAAGUGAAUAUUGUUUUCAACUUUUUCUUUCUCUAGAUGCUUUGAGAAUGUCCUAGGAAUAUAUAUAUUUUUGGACCUUAAUAUUAAAUUCCUAUUAAGCCAGAAGAUCUUUAUAAGUUACAUGCUUAAAGGAUAACCUGUGCCUUUCUGGUUUGAGAGGAGAACCCAACAUAUCUAAAAUAUAGACAUUCUCAGCUCCAUUGGCUCCUGACAUGGUUACCCUGCUGAGGUGCUUUUUCUGUGCCUGGAACACUUCUUUUGGUCCUUUGACCACCACAGAUUCCUCUGCAGCAGGAGCGGAAUUCCCACCCUCCGCGGCUCUUUCCCUUCCCAGCUCAUCCCCUCUUGUGGUUCAGCUUGAGCCUGCUGCCUUUCACUUUCUAAGGCAGGGCUUGGAGCAGUGGGAUGGAGACUAGGAAGGGGAAAGAGAGGUCUUGAGGGAGAAGCAAAGUCCUGGCCAAGGCUUUCCCCUCUCUGCCUCUGUUCACCUAGCUUGGCCACAGCUGGGAAGCUGGAACCACUUUCUGGACAUUCCUUAGUUCCUCCAGCAGGAAUGUGAUUCUGGAGGCCUUCACUAGUUCCUGUGCCAGGACUCCUAGGUUCACAGCCCUGUGGGAGGAAAUGGCAUGUAAACGUA